UCUAAUAUGGCAGAAUAGUGCAUUGAAUUUAAGCUUCAAAUAUAAAUUAUUAAUUUUAUUAKAAGUG
rnacentral:tRNA from 1 species